CGGGGUGUAGCGCAGUUGGUAGCGCGCUUGGUUCGGGACCAAGAGGCCCGGGGUUCAAAUCCCCGCACUCCGACCA
rnacentral:tRNA from 7 species